AUGUUGAGCUCGAGUCGAGAUUUCGCACCAAUGGUGACGUGGGAUCCGAUCCACUCUCCCUCCGACGAACCGAAGCCCGCCAUGCCGCUGCCGAAGACCACCGAAAGUCUGGCCAAUUCCCUCCGCCAAACCGCGAUAGCGGUCAUUCUCCUCCCUCCGUUUUCCGACGGUUCCGCUAGUUCCUCCAAGCUUCUUCGUGCUUCGAUUUUCCGGCAACAUAAUCUUCUAGAAACUCCUCUUCACUUUAAUUAG
rnacentral:lncRNA from 1 species